UACAGAGGUUGCAAGCGUUGUUCGGAAUCACUGGGCGUAAAGGGCGCGUAGGCGGCCAUUUAAGUCAGACGUGAACUCCCCAGGCUCAACCUGGGACCUGCAUUUGUGACUGUAUAGCUAGAGUACGGUAGAGGGGGAUGGAAUUCCGCGUGUAGCAGUGAAAUGCGUAGAGAUGCGGAGGAACACCGAUGGCGAAGGCAAUCCCCUGGACCUGUACUGACGCUCAUGCACGAAAGCGUGGGGAGCAAACAGG
rnacentral:rRNA from 1 species